GCAGUCGAGCGGUAACAGAUCGCAUGGCUUGCUGGAUGCUGACGAGCGGCGGACGGGUGAGUAAUGCAUAGGAAUCUGCCCGAUAGUGGGGGAUAACCUGGGGAAACCCAGGCUAAUACCGCAUACGUCCUACGGGAGAAAGGGGGCUCCGGCUCCCGCUAUGGGAUGAGCCUAUGUCGGAUUAGCUGGUUGGUGAGGUAACGGCUCACCAAGGCCACGAUCCGUAGCUGGUCUGAGAGGAUGAUCAGCCACAUCGGGACUGAGACACGGCCCGAACUCCUACGGGAGGCAGCAGUGGGGAAUAUUGGACAAUGGGGGAAACCCUGAUCCAGCCAUGCCGCGUGUGUGAAGAAGGCCCUCGGGUUGUAAAGCACUUUCAGCGAGGAAGAACGCCUAGCGGUUAAUACCCGCUAGGAAAGACAUCACUCGCAGAAGAAGCACCGGCUAACUCCGUGCCAGCAGCCGCGGUAAUACGGAGGGUGCAAGCGUUAAUCGGAAUUACUGGGCGUAAAGCGCGCGUAGGUGGCUUGAU
rnacentral:rRNA from 1 species